ACGGGAGGCAGCAGUGAGGAAUAUUGGUCAAUGGGCGGAAGCCUGAACCAGCCAAGUCGCGUGAAGGAAUACGGCCCUACGGGUCUUAAACUUCUUUUAUAGGGGGAUAAAGUGAGAUACGCGUCUCUUUUUGUAGGUACCCUAUGAAUAAGCAUCGGCUAACUCCGUGCCAGCAGCCGCGGUAAUACGGAGGAUGCGAGCGUUAUCCGGAUUUAUUGGGUUUAAAGGGUGCGCAGGCGGCACGUUAAGUCAGCGGGGAAAGGUCGGGGCUCAACCCGGGCACUGCCGUUGAAACUGGCGAGCUUGAGUACGGAUGAGGUUGGCGGAAUGUGAGGUGUAGCGGUGAAAUGCUUAGAUAUGUCACAGAACACCGAUUGCGAAGGCAGCUGACUAAUCCGCAACUGACGCUCAGGCACGAAAGCGUGGGGAUCGAACAGGAUUAGAUACCCUGGUA
rnacentral:rRNA from 1 species